AUUGAACGCUGGCGGCAGGCCUAACACAUGCAAGUCGAACGAGUGGCGGACGGGUGAGUAAUGUCUGGGAAACUGCCCGAUGGAGGGGGAUAACUACUGGAAACGGUAGCUAAUACCGCAUACCAUCGGAUGUGCCCAGAUGGGAUUAGCUAGUAGGUGGGGUAACGGCUCACCUAGGCGACGAUCCCUAGCUGGUGUGAGAGGAUGACCAGCCACACGGGAACUGAGACACGGUCCAGACUCCUACGUGAGGCAGCAGUGGGGAAUAGUGCACAGUGGGCGCAAGCCUUGUGCAGCCAUGCCGCGUGUAUGAAGAAGUCCUUCGGGUUGUAAUGUACUUUCAGCGGGUAGGCGUUAGUCGCAGAAGAAGCACCGGCUAACUCCGUGCCAGCAGCCGCGGUAAUAC
rnacentral:rRNA from 1 species